rnacentral:lncRNA from 1 species
UCUCGAUCACAAAAUCACACUUUUUUAGGUCACAUAUUAUUUAUUGCUCAUAGUUUAUUUGUUUUAUUGGUCACAACUAUACAACAGUUGGUCACAAGAACUUUUUAUCCGACCCAUUCCACCCUAGCACCCCCAGUUGCACCACCAAAAAAACCGAUUCAAUAAUUGGUCGCAUUCAUUCAAACUGUUCCCAAAUCUCAAUUGCCAAAAUUCUCAGCAUCACCUUUCUUGUCCACAAUCAUUCAAAUUAUUCCCAGUUUAAAGAAAUACUUGAUCAAAUGUGCAUAUUAUCCAAACAUAAUUUUUCCAUUAUUCUAGUGGUUGGUGUGGAAUGCCCCACUUCAUCCAUCAUAUCUGUUUCACUGAGUAACAAAAUUUUCCAUUAGUCUAUUCCAAUUCACUAAACUAUCUCCAAACACAAUGCUUUGAUGUAAUCGUCCUAUAUCACCUGUGGUCCACAACCAAACACCUGAACGGCACAUUUGAGAGAUUAUUCUAGGGUUUUCUUUUUUAUGUGUCUUCUCUCUAAAAACUGUUCCUCUU